GUCCUAGAAGCUUACUAGCAAUCUAUUUUGUAAAUAGGGGGAGGCCAUAAAAUUAUUGGUCUAGGACU
rnacentral:tRNA from 1 species